rnacentral:rRNA from 1 species
UCGGGAAACCGGAGCUAAUACCGGAUAAUCCUUUCUCUCACAUGAGGGAGAGCUGAAAGACGGUUUCGGCUGUCACUUACAGAUGGGCCCGCGGCGCAUUAGCUAGUUGGUGAGGUAACGGCUCACCAAGGCGACGAUGCGUAGCCGACCUGAGAGGGUGAUCGGCCACACUGGGACUGAGACACGGCCCAGACUCCUACGGGAGGCAGCAGUAGGGAAUCUUCCGCAAUGGACGAAAGUCUGACGGAGCAACGCCGCGUGAGCGAAGAAGGCCUUCGGGUCGUAAAGCUCUGUUGUUAGGGAAGAACAAGUAUCGGAGUAACUGCCGGUACCUUGACGGUACCUAACCAGAAAGCCACGGCUAACUACGUGCCAGCAGCCGCGGUAAUACGUAGGUGGCAAGCGUUGUCCGGAAUUAUUGGGCGUAAAGCGCGCGCAGGCGGUCCUUUAAGUCUGAUGUGAAAGCCCACGGCUCAACCGUGGAGGGUCAUUGGAAACUGGGGGACUUGAGUGCAGAAGAGGAAAGCGGAAUUCCACGUGUAGCGGUGAAAUGCGUAGAGAUGUGGAGGAACACCAGUGGCGAAGGCGGCUUUCUGGUCUGUAACUGACGCUGAGGCGCGAAAGCGUGGGGAGCAAACAGGAUUAGAUACCCUG